rnacentral:rRNA from 1 species
GCUGGCGGCAUGCUUUACACAUGCAAGUCGGACGGCAGCGGGGUAGUGCUUGCACUACUGCCGGCGAGUGGCGAACGGGUGAGUAAUAUAUUGGAACGUACCGAGUAAUGGGGGAUAACCAAUCGAAAGAUUGGCUAAUACCGCAUACGCUCUGAGGAGGAAAGCAGGGGACCUUCGGGCCUUGCGUUAUUCGAGCGGCCAAUAUCUGAUUAGCUAGUUGGUGGGGUAAAGGCCUACCAAGGCGACGAUCAGUAGCGGGUCUGAGAGGAUGAUCCGCCACACUGGGACUGAGACACGGCCCAGACUCCUACGGGAGGCAGCAGUGGGGAAUUUUGGACAAUGGGCGCAAGCCUGAUCCAGCCAUGCCGCGUGUCUGAAGAAGGCCUUCGGGUUGUAAAGGACUUUUGUUAGGGAAGAAAAAGGAGCGGUUAAUACCCGUUUCUGCUGACGGUACCUAAAGAAUAAGCACCGGCUAACUACGUGCCAGCAGCCGCGGUAAUACGUAGGGUGCGAGCGUUAAUCGGAAUUACUGGGCGUAAAGCGAGCGCAGACGGUUACUUAAGCAGGAUGUGAAA